UACGGAGGGUGCAAGCGUUAUCCGGAUUUACUGGGUUUAAAGGGUGCGUAGGUGGGUAGGUAAGUCAGUGGUGAAAUCUUCGAGCUUAACUCGGAAACUGCCAUUGAUACUAUUUAUCUUGAAUACUCUGGAGGUAAGCGGAAUAUGUCAUGUAGCGGUGAAAUGCUUGGAUAUGACAUAGAACACCAAUUGCGAAGGCAGCUUACUACAUAGUUAUUGACACUGAGGCACGAAAGCGUGGGGAUCAAACAGG
rnacentral:rRNA from 1 species